rnacentral:lncRNA from 10 species
CCUAUAGCUAUGUUUGUGCCACUACCACCUCCUGCCUCAAAGAAACUCUUGCCAGGGUGAUUUACCAAGGAUAAAGAUGUCUAAUUUAAGUUGGACCAACCCAAUUCUCUUUCUUGGAAAUUUGAAACUAGAAGAGAGCCACAUGGAGAAUGAAGGUCUUAUUUCAACUGUUGUUCAGGAAUGAUCCAAACAAAUUCAGAAGCAGAUUUAAAUGUUAUAGAAUUAUUCUCGGCCAGGCAUGGUGGCUCAUGCCUGUAAUCCCAGCACUUUGGGAGGCCGAGGCAGGUGGAUCACCUGAGGUCAGGAGCUCGAGACCAACAUGGUCAACACGGUGAAACCCCGUCUCUACUAAAAAUAUAAAAAUUAGCCGGGCAUGGUGGCGGGCACCUGUAAUCUCAUCUACUCGGGAGACAGACUCAGGAGAAUUGCUGGAACCCAGGAGGCGGAGGUUGCAGUGAGCCGAGAUCGAGCCAUAGCACUCCAGCCCGAGCUGACAACAGUGAGACUGUCAAAAAAAAAAGAAUUAUUCUCAUCUGUGUAUGUUGAUUGAUAUUUAAUGUUAAUUUUUUAGUUGACAAUUACAUAAUUUUCUCAUUUAAUCUGUUAAAGGAGAUUAUUUUAUGGUGAAUUAUAUUAAUUAUCUAAUGUUAAGAAAACUUGGUCAUUAUAUAUUAUCUUUUAUAUACAUUUCUGGAUUUGAUUUUUUACAUUUUUCUUAGGACACUUCACUAAUUACAUUGGUCUUUUUUUGUAGUGUCUUUGGUUAUUCUGUCAAAGUUCCGGUAGCCAUCUAAAAUGAGUUGUGAUGUUUUCUCUAUCUAUUCUCUGGAAAAAUUUCUUUAAAAUUCAGAUCAAUCAUUCUGUAUUUUCUGCGAAGGAAAAUUUCAAAUAAUGAAUUCAUUUUCUUUUAUAUUUACAGUUGAUUUUUCUAACCAUUUGUGCAAUGGCUUUGAAGUUUAUUUUGACUGAAAUUAGCAUAGGCUUCUUUUGGUUAAUAUUUGCAGUUUUCAUGUUUCAUUCUUUCAAAUGUUUUCCAAACUAAAGUUCCCUUUCAUAUAUAUUAUUGUUUAUUUGUACUGUUUUUACUUUUUCUGAAUUAAUAUUACCAGAAAUUAUUUAUUUUAUUAGUCUUCUCAGUCUCUUUAUGUAAUCUUUUGUCGAAAUAAAUACUCAGCCAUAUUUCUGGUUUUUAUUUUGUUUUGUUUUAG